AGAUGUGGUGCUAGAGGUUUAUGGAAAAGUUACGUAAUCUGGAAAGUGAGGAGAACAAAAUGAACAUGCAUAUACUAAGUAUUGUUAAAGAAAAAACGUAGGUAUAUUCGUAAAUGCAAAUAAAAUGAAACUUUUAAAAAUGAUUGGGCAAGUCUUCAGAUACCAUGCAGAACAGCUGCACAAGAUAAUAAAAAUUAUUGUAAAGAGCACGCGAUUGAAAGGAAGAUAACUGCAGACGACAUUGUUAUACUCUCAUUAUAUACCUAAGACAAAU